GCUCAUGGCCUCGCCAACGCUGGCCCGUCAACCCUGCCAGGCCCGGAAGGGAGCAACAGUCGCGGUGACCAGCGUGUGGCGGGGCCCUCUGUUUUUU
rfam:Sandaracinus amylolyticus strain DSM 53668, complete genome.